rnacentral:rRNA from 1 species
GAUGAACGCUAGCUACAGGCUUAACACAUGCCAGUCGAGGGGAAACGACAUCGAAAGCUUGCUUUUGAUGGGCGUCGACCGGCGCACGGGUGAGUAACGCGUAUCCAACCUGCCCAUCACUUGGGAAUAACCUUGCGAAAGUAAGACUAAUACCCAAUGAUAUCCCACGAAGGCAUCGGAAUGGGAUUAAAGAUUUAUCGGUGAUGGAUGGGGAUGCGUCUGAUUAGCUUGUUGGCGGGGUAACGGCCCACCAAGGCAACGAUCAGUAGGGGUUCUGAGAGGAAGGUCCCCCACAUUGGAACUGAGACACGGUCCAAACUCCUACGGGAGGCAGCAGUGAGGAAUAUUGGUCAAUGGGCGAGAGCCUGAACCAGCCAAGUAGCGUGCAGGAAGACGGCCCUAUGGGUUGUAAACUGCUUUUAUAAGGGAAUAAAGUGGGUCACGUGUGACUUUUUGCAUGUACCUUAUGAAUAAGGACCGGCGAAUUCCGU